rnacentral:rRNA from 1 species
UCGGACUGCAGUCUGCAACUCGACUGCACGAAGCUGGAAUCGCUAGUAAUCGCGGAUCAGCACGCCGCGGUGAAUACGUUCCCGGGCCUUGUACACACCGCCCGUCACACCAUGGAAGUCUGCAAUGCCCGAAGCCGGUGGCCUAACCACUUAUGUGGAAGGAGCCGUCUAAGGCAGGGCAGAUGACUGGGGUGAAGUCGUAACAAGGUAAC